CCUACGGGUCUCAGCCGUUCUUACUAUUGUUCCCUGGCCGCGCGUCUGAACCAGCCAAGUAGCGUGAAGGAUGACUGCCCUAUGGGUUGUAAACUUCUUUUAUAAAGGAAUAAAACGAGGCACGUGUGCCUUUUUGCAUGUACUUUAUGAAUAAGGAUCGGCUAACUCCGUGCCAGCAGCCGCGGUAAUACGGAGGAUCCGAGCGUUAUCCGGAUUUAUUGGGUUUAAAGGGAGCGUAGAUGGGUUGUUAAGUCAGUUGUGAAAGUUUGCGGCUCAACCGUAAAAUUGCAAUUGAUACUGGCAGUCUUGAGUACAGUUGAGGUAGGCGGAAUUCGUGGUGUAGCGGUGAAAUGCUUAGAUAUCACGAAGAACCCCGAUUGCGAAGGCAGCUUACUAAACUGUGACUGACAUUGAUGCUCGAAAGUGUGGGUAUCAAACAGGAUUAGAUACCCGGGUAGUC
rnacentral:rRNA from 1 species